UACAACAUGUUUAGUUGAUCAAACUAAGACAGAAAAAAUGGUUUAAAUAUUUGAUAAAUGACUGAAUGGACUAUUCAGAUGACGUGUCUGCAUUUGUCUGUAUUAAAGUGCCGAAAAAUACACAAGUAAUGAGGCUGGUGGUUCAUUCCAGCCAGGACAUGAAUGACCCUACAGUGCAGGCGGAUCUCCUGGAGAAUAUGCAGCAAAAGCUGAUGGAGCAGUGGAUGGUGGAGAACACCACACUGCAAUGGAAAAAACACUCAGAUGGAUCCAUGUUUUACAAGCAGAAAGAGAAAAGGAAGGAAAACGAAAAGGAAAAAAACACCACCAGUGUGUGUGAAAUGUAAACACUAGAGCUGCAUGUUUGCUGUGUAGAUGUGAUUAGUUAUUGCAGUUCAUAAUAUUUACAGUAGGUGGCAACAGUGAGUUCACGCUGUAUAAAUAGCAGCGCUAGCGCCUAGCAUAAAUCCAGCUAUAGAACAACAAUAUACUUAAUGCCUUAAUAAAUGUUGUUUUAAUCAAAACAAACAACCCAGAAAAUUCUCCUUAUUGUUUUUUUGAUAAUUAAAAAUUUAUUUAAAUUAAAGCUUUGUGUGAAACUGUA